UAAACGGCCCUUUUCAGGGCCACUAAUUUCAUUACGAAAGAGUUAU
rfam:Culex pipiens quinquefasciatus supercont3.273 genomic scaffold, whole genome shotgun sequence.